GACGAACGCUGGCGGCGUGCUUAACACAUGCAAGUCGAACGGAAAGGCACUGCGUUUGUGCUGUGCUCGAGUGGCGAACGGGUGAGUGACACGUGAGUAACCUGCCCUUGACUUUGGGAUAACUUCAGGAAACUGGGGCUAAUACCGGAUAGGAGCUGCUGUUGCAUGGUGGGGGUUGGAAAGUCUCGGCGGUUGGGGCUGGAUGCGCGGCUUAUCAGCUUGUUGGUUGGGUAGUGGCAUACCCAGGCUGUGGCGGGUAGCCGGCCUGGGAGGGUGAACGGCGACCUUGCGACUGCGGUACGGAGCAGACUCGAACGGGAGGCAGCAGUGGGAAAUAUGACACAAUGGGAGGAAGCGUGAUGCAGAAACGCUGGGGUCGGGAUGACGGCUUUCUGGUUGUGAACAGCUUUAGCUUGUGACGAAGCGUGAGUGACGGUAAUGGGUAAAGAAGCACCGGCUAACUACGUG
rnacentral:rRNA from 1 species